AGGCUCUCAGUGUGGAGCUGCUCAGUGUUCUCCACAGGCUAAUGGUGACCAGAGAGUCGUCAUCUGUUCACCUCGCUGUGUUGGAUUUGCUGCGUCAGAUUGUGGCUGCAGCCCAGGAGCACAUCAGAGAGAAACGCCACAGCGCCGAGGUGGAUGACGGUGCAGAAGAGAAGGAGACGCUGCCUGAGUUUGGUGAGGGGCGGGACACUGGCGGCUUGGUUCCAGGACACUCUAUAGUCUUUGGAGCACUGGAACUCUGCCUGUGUGUGCUGGUCCGGAAACUUCCACAGCUCAGUCCCAAACUGGCUGGAAAACAGUCCAAAUGGGUCCUGAAACAUCAGUCUGAGUUUGACUGACAGCGACUGUCACCUGGUGGCUUCAGCUUUAUGUGUUCUCGCCGAGCUGCCUUCCGUCUGCUCCCCCGAAGG